UGGAUCACCUCCUAACAGGGAGACAACAAAAUGUUUGUAAUAAAUUUUGUCACCUUAGGUCGAUCGGAACCUCUGAUUUUCGAAACUCUCGAAAAUUUCAAUUUCCUAAGUUUUCUCUAGGUCACACCCAUUUUUUCCUGGGCCAUUAGCUCAGGUGGUUAGAGCGCACCCCUGAUAAGGGUGAGGUCCCUGGUUCAAGUCCAGGAUGGCCCAUAUCUCUAUUGGGGGUAUAGCUCAGUUGGUAGAGCGCCUGCUUUGCAAGCAGGAUGUCAGCGGUUCGAGUCCGCUUACCUCCACUGAAUACCACCAAAUUCAUACAAGAGGGAAUUUAUUUGGGUAUGACUUAACUCUGAGAGAAUCUAGCUUCCUGUUAAUUUAAUUAAUAAGAUGCUGGAUUCACUGAAUUUCACAAUUCAAUGAUUCCAGAGAACCUUGACAACUGCAUAGAUUUAAUUUUUCAAGACAAUAAGCAUCUUUUAAGAUGCAGAUUUAUUAUUGGUGCUAAUGCAUUAAUAACAAUUCUAUUGAGCUGAUGCUUCAAAUAUUUUGAAGUUAUUGGUCAAGCUACAAAGGGCUCAUGGAGGAUACCUAGGCACACAGAGGCGAUGAAGG
rnacentral:tRNA from 1 species